GUUGAAUGCGGAUUUUGUUAAGUAUAAAGAGAGGAGAGAGAGAGAAUGAAUCUUCUAAAUUUAGAGACUGAGAAUUGAAAGUGGUGAAGCAGCUGGCCUAUCACACAGGUUGUUAUCUGUUUUGUCAUUAACUGAUAAUGCAAAUAAUUCAGAGCAAGGCAUCAUUGAAAAGACAGCAAGGAAUUGGAGUAGAGCUUUGUGUUUAUCUUCCUAUAAACCUACUGACCAAAAUAAAUGACCAUGAAGAAAAGAUACCUGCAUCAAUCUAAUCAGUUGCAUCCACAAAUGCCUUUUCAAAAAACUGUGAUUGUGCCGUAGCUGACAUCCUCUAUCAAUCCUCAAGACCUGCUUUAUUGUCAUAUUUUGUCUCUUCAGAUGAGAUUGGUUCAAUUUCUUUGACAUUAUUUCAAACUAUGGACCACAAGCAAAUAAAUAAAUU
rnacentral:lncRNA from 1 species